AACGCACAUUGCGCCCAUUAGUAUUCUAGUGGGCAUGCCUGUUCGAGCGUCAUUUCAACCCUUAAGCUUAGCUUAGUAUUGGGAAUCUGCUUAACCGCAGCUCCUUAAAUAUAGUUGGCAGAGUGUAGCUGUACUCUGAGCGUAGUAAUUUAUUAUCUCGUUCUGGAAGACUGUUAUUCGAUCGCCAGAAAUCUAUCUAUUUUUUUUAAUGGUUGACCUCGGAUCAGGUAGGAAUACCCGCUGAACUUAA
rnacentral:misc_RNA from 1 species